CAGCAGCCGCGGUAAUACGAAGGGUGCAAGCGUUAAUCGGAAUUACUGGGCGUAAAGCGCGCGUAGGUGGUUUGGUAAGAUGGAUGUGAAAUCCCCGGGCUCAACCUGGGAACUGCAUCCAUAACUGCCUGACUAGAGUACGGUAGAGGGUGGUGGAAUUUCCUGUGUAGCGGUGAAAUGCGUAGAUAUAGGAAGGAACACCAGUGGCGAAGGCGACCACCUGGACUGAUACUGACACUGAGGUGCGAAAGCGUGGGGAGCAAACAGGAUUAGAUACCCCUGUAGUCCCUGUCUCUUAUAC
rnacentral:rRNA from 1 species